AGCGUCCGCGGGACGGGGCAAGGCCGGGGACAGCUGGAACUCAGGAGUUGCAAAGGAUUUACGCCGAGCUGCUUCUGCACCUGCUGGGUUCGUGCCCUUGCUUGUCCCUGCAACAGCAGAGCGUGCGCUGCUGCUUUUUAGCAGCGCCUUCCAGCCUGUAUUUCUAGCUCAGGCCUGCUGAGCUACGUUUUGACACCUCUGAAACACAAGAAUCAUCGUUCUGUGGUUCUGACUCUUAAAACAAGCAGAAAUUGGAGGACAGCCAUGAUAAAACCAACUCUACCAAAAAUCUCAUAAAUACUUGAAAGGAAGCCACAAAGAAGAUAGAGCCUGGCUCUUGUCAGCAGCACCCAGUGACAGGAGGAGAGGCAAUGCGCACAACCUGGAAUAUCAGAAACUAAAUGUAAACACAGGAAAAACUUCUGAUGUCAGACACUGCUACUUGCUGGAUGGUAUCCUUGGAGAUAUCCAGAACUUUGGGUACUAAUCCGCCCUGGUCAGUCUUCUGUAGCCAACCCUGCAUUGAACUGGAUGAUCUCACGGGAUACCUCCCCACUUCAACUAUUCAUUGAUGCUGUGAAAGGGAGAGGAGUGGACCAACGAGUGAGACAAUUGUAAAUAAAAUACUUGAAACUGGAGAUUGAAGCUACAAGCAGAGAAACAGAUUGGUUGUUAUAAACCGCUCAGGCAGAAAGAUGAGUUUAUCACCUGCACUAUUUCCUUUGCUGGUAAGAAGUGAGGGAUUGGACUCCUCUCAAAACCUGGCCUUCAGCAUGCAUUAAAACAAAUGCUCAAAGAGCUGCAGAUGAAAUUUUCACCUGGAACGAAGGAUAGAGAUGAGGAAAGAAACAGUAUGAAAAGCUUGUUGUUCUGCACACAAUCUCAGAUCUUACUGGAGGAAACAAGCCCAUCAGCAGAGAAUGGUAUGCUCAAGCAGUACAGUCCAUUAACAGAGCCAAAACAGGCAGAUAAU